GACGAACGCUGGCGGCGUGCUUAACACAUGCAAGUCGAACGGAAAGGCCCUGCUUUUGUGGGGUGCUCGAGUGGCGAACGGGUGAGUAACACGUGAGUAACCUGCCCUUGACUUUGGGAUAACUUCAGGAAACUGGGGCUAAUACCGGAUAGGAGCUCCUGCUGCAUGGUGGGGGUUGGAAAGUUUCGGCGGUUGGGGAUGGACUCGCGGCUUAUCAGCUUGUUGGUGGGGUAGUGGCUUACCAAGGCUUUGACGGGUAGCCGGCCUGAGAGGGUGACCGGCCACAUUGGGACUGAGAUACGGCCCAGACGCCUACGGGAGGCAGCAGUGGGGAAUAUUGCACAAUGGGCGGAAGCCUGAUGCAGCAACGCCGCGUGCGGGAUGACGGCCUUCGGGUUGUAAACCGCUUUCGCCUGUGACGAAGUGUGAGUGACGGUAAUGGGUAAAGAAGCACCGGCUAACUACGUG
rnacentral:rRNA from 1 species